AGUGAACGCUGGCGGUAGGCCUAACACAUGCAAGUCGAACGGCAGCACAGUAAGAGCUUGCUCUUACGGGUGGCGAGUGGCGGACGGGUGAGGAAUACAUCGGAAUCUACUUUUUCGUGGGGGAUAACGUAGGGAAACUUACGCUAAUACCGCAUACGACCUACGGGUGAAAGCAGGGGAUCUUCGGACCUUGCGCGAUUGAAUGAGCCGAUGUCGGAUUAGCUAGUUGGCGGGGUAAAGGCCCACCAAGGCGACGAUCCGUAGCUGGUCUGAGAGGGUGAUCAGCCACACUGGAACUGAGACACGGUCCAGACUCCUACGGGAGGCAGCAGUGGGGAAUAUUGGACAAUGGGGGCAAGCCUGAUCCAGCCAUACCGCGUGGGUGAAGAAGGCCUUCGGGUUGUAAAGCCCUUUUGUUGGGAAAGAAAAGCAGCAGGUUAAUACCCCGCCGUUCUGACGGUACCCAAAGAAUAAGCACCGGCUAACUUCGUG
rnacentral:rRNA from 1 species